AACUGGGGGCACAGAACCAGAAAUGAACCAUUCGUUCAGAAUACAAACCACAUUCUGGAGGACUGCACCUCACAGGAUGCUACUUGAGCUGGUGCCUUUGCCAAACCUCUCUACUAUAUUCUAUAGUCCACUUUUCUACUUCAGCUGAUAUCAUACAUGGGUGUGUCUCCAUCUCCCGGCAGCAUGAGAUGAUGGAACCGAAUGUUUCAAUGACACCCGUGAAAGUGAAAGUGAGGGAAAUACGGCAUUGGGUACAUAAGAGAAAUGUGUCGUCCAGUUUCCAGACCAAACAGAAGCUUCUUCUAUAGAGUACUCAGAAGAGGAGUCUGCCUUAACUCUGGCCCCAGAGGGAAGAAAGAGCUGCCCACAAGACUGUGACUGCUCACGAUAUGGAGUCAGACCUCAAUGCCAAGGAGCGUGUACUGUGUUUCAUCUUAUCGUGAAUUUCAAUAAACAUGUAUGAUACAUCUGAAAUGUAAAAAGCAAUACCUGUUAGUGUGCGGCAACGUUGUACGUGACACCAUGCCAAUGGUUUAUCGUUAGGCAAAUCUCUAAUGGUAGUGCUGGAGUUGCUCUGUAGACAUAAAAGAAAAACCCAGAUGUCAAUUCUGGUAAGGAUGAUCAAGGAUGGACGAAGUCCAAUGCAGUGGAAUUGAAAUCAAGUGAUUGGCUCUUCUCCUCCAUGACGGUGCUACAUUGCCACUGGUGAUAGGCAUUCAGUAAUGGUAGCAGCUAGAUCAUUCUGGAUGAGAGAGAGCCCAUGCUGUAUAGCCCAUAUGUAGUCUUUAUCUCUGGCACAAUGGCCACAUCAUUCAUAACUCAUUGUGUCAGCACCACUCGGCUCAAUAAAUACGAUGAUUGACACAAGA